GAAUGGAUUUGGAUUUUGAAUCUUUAAAGCUCUGUGACCCCUGCUGACACCUCCUCCAACAAGGCCACACCUCCUGCUCCUUCUCACCUUCAGCUAGUGCGGUGUCCACCAGACCCACGUUAAAUGUCCUGCGGGUUGGGACAUAUUUGGUGCCCAGCGUGGACUGAAGUCGGAUAGCCAGGAGGAAGAUGCCGCUCACGGAGUGAAGGGCCCUUCCAGAUUGUCCCCCAGAUGAUGGCACAGUCUUCAUUUUGGUGACCCGCCGAAAAGAGCAAGACAGAUGAGGUGGCUCAAAGAAGCCCUCAGGAUACGAGGAAUUAGGGUGAAAAAGAAGGAUCUUAUACAAUUCUUAGGAGUAACACAGGUUAAAAAUAAAGGUUUAAAGAGGUUAUAACUUAUAUGAGAAUAUGGGAAAUGUUUGUCCCUGGAGGGGCUGAUAAAUAUAGACAAAGAAAAGGUGGUAACUGCCUUCAAGAUUAUUAAGGGAAUGUAUAAGAAGGAAAUUGUUGGUCAGAUAAUUGUAUAUUCACUUGUGUGUGUUUUGAUAGCCAGGAGAGCUAAAAUGAAGCAAAACUGCAGAGGACUUUGGAGUUUUAAAGGCUCCUUCCCGUCUCACAGAAACCACUGCUGCAGUUGUAUCACAGGUGCUGUGCCAGGGCUGGGGAAGCGAAGGUGCUACCUGCAAACUUGCAUACUUGCAGAACAGCAGGAAAUAUCUGCCCCUGACCAGUUAGCAGUAUGAUAAGAGACCUCAGUACCUACUGAGGAGCAGCUAGAUCAGAAAACACACAAACAAAUAAACAAAAACCGUACAGGACAGAGAGAUUAGGAACUAGAAAUACAGACAGACAGAAACCUAGUGGUGAAAUUCAGCAAAAACUAAGAGGCUUGAAAGAUUUAGCAAAAUCGCUCUCACAGGAGAUAAGAACUUUUCAAGUUUCCUCAGAUCAGAGAAAUGUUCUUUGUCUAAGGCAGCCUAGGGGCAAGCACCCCUCAAGUCACAACAGCUGCAACAGGUCAGAUGUCUUCAGUGCAGGUUAGUGUUAGAGAAGAGGCAAACAAUACAAAUAAACAAAAAGAGCCCAAAACCUUCCUGUUUGUUAUAAGGUGCUCCCUGAGGAAGGACAAAUACAAAGACAUAGAUCAGCAGUUAACGCUUGAGAUAGCAGUGUAUAAACAGAUUGGCCCAGCAGCAGAGAGAACUUGGAACAAGCUUCCAGCUGCCAGGACACAGGCUAAGUAAAGGCUUCAGAAAGAGCAGGCAUGGACCUAAGGAGUUGUUUCAAAAAUUUUUGUCUCUAGGAUAAUGCAGGCUUCAUCCAAAAUAAGGGGAGAUACAGAUGUUAAAUCUUUGAGACAACUAGUUUAUAAAAUGCUAAUACAACAUGCCAGGCCAUGCUAAGACCUUAUAGAAAGGAAAGUGACACAAACGAGUCUAUUAAAGAUUUGUUCAGAUAGCGGGCCUUAUAAAGAA